CCUACGGGAGGCAGCAGUGAGGAAUAUUGGUCAAUGGGCUUACGCCUGAACCAGCCAAGUCGCGUGAGGGAAGACUGCCCUAUGGGUUGUAAACCUCUUUUGUCAGGGAGCAACGCCGGCUACGUGUAGCCGGACUGAGAGUACCUGAAGAAAAAGCAUCGGCUAACUCCGUGCCAGCAGCCGCGGUAAUACGGAGGAUGCGAGCGUUAUCCGGAUUUAUUGGGUUUAAGGGGUGCGUAGGCGGAAUGCCAAGUCAGCGGUAAAAUCGCGGGGCUCAACCUCGCUCAGCCGUUGAAACUGGCGGUCUUGAGUGGGCGAGAAGUAUGCGGAAUGCGUGGUGUAGCGGUGAAAUGCAUAGAUAUCACGCAGAACUCCGAUUGCGAAGGCAGCAUACCGGCGCCCAACUGACGCUGAAGCACGAAAGCGUGGGUAUCGAACAGGAUUAGAUACCCCAGUAGUC
rnacentral:rRNA from 1 species